CAGCUGUCUUCGCUUCGUCCAGACCAACAUCUCCCGCCUCCUGCAGGAGACCUCCGAGCAGCUGGUGGCGCUGAAGCCCUGGAUCACUCGCCAGAACUUCUCCCGGUGCCUGGAGCUGCAGUGUCAGCCCGGUGCCCCCCGUCCCCAGUCCCCAGGACCUGCUGCUUGUGGAGCACUGACCUGGCCAAGGCCUCAUCCUGGUGAGUCCUUCCUGGGCUAUGGGGCCUGGACUUUGUGUCUGCAGGUUGGGAGGGUCACUAGGAGGCCAUGGAAGGGUGGUGAGCAGUGGAGGGGCAGGGGCAGCUCUAGGUGCAGAAAGACCCCUCUGGGGCCAGGCGCGGUGGCUCACGCCUGUAAUCCCAGCACUUUGGGAGGCCGAGGCGGGUGGAUCACUUGAGGUCAGGAGUUCAAGACCAGCCUGGCCAACAUGGCAAACCCCAGUCUCUACUAAAAAUACAAAAAUUAACUGGGCAUAGUGGUGUGUGCCUGUAAUCCCAGCUACUCAGGAGGCUGAGGAAGGAGAAUUGCUUGAACCCAGGAGGCGGAGGUUGCAGUGAGCCGAGAUUGCGCCACUGGACUCCAGCCUGAGUGACAGAGCUAGACUCCGUCUCAAAAAAAAAAAAAAAAAAGAAAAGGAAAGACCCCUCUGGGGCCACGGAGACAGACUGGAGACCAAGCCGGAGGCUGUGGGAAGGCCCAGGGUGAGGACCAUGACUGAGCCAGGGCUGGGACCAUGGGAUGGAGUGGAGUGGAUGGGCAGAGAGUCAGGGGUCAGAGAUCAGGAGGGACCGGCCUGGGGCCUGACAGGCUUGAGUUGGCACAGAUAGCCCUGGUCCAGUGAUGGGGUGGACAGGGGGGAACCUGGGGGAGGAGUCAGAUUAGGGAAAGACAUGGAGCUCACUGGGGACCUGAAGGAGCAAGGGGCCCUGGGGAGAUCUGUGGAUGUGGGAGUUUGCAAGCCUCCUGGGACAGGAAGGAAAUGGCAUUCCAGAAAGAGGGAACUGCCUUUGGAAGCCCUUUGGUAUGAGAAAGCUCAGGGUGUUCCAGUAACUUGGGCCAGCGUGGGGCAGCAAGGAGCCAUGGGAGGUGUGAGAGGGAGGAAAGGAGCUGGGAACAGGUGUGGAGGGUGCAGGCAGGUAGGCAGGUGGGCCAGGAGGGAAG
rnacentral:lncRNA from 10 species